rnacentral:lncRNA from 1 species
CUAUAUAUUGAUUAUCUUUUUAGAAAUCUUUCUUAAACUGAGCUAUUUCAUUUUUAAAAUGAUGUGACACCAAGUGAUAAUGUGGCAUGCUGCUCCCUGGAUACCCAAUGGGCCCUUUUAAAGUGCAGUGAUAGCUCAUGGAGUUACUACACCUGUGAUUUCUUUAUUACCUAAUUAGACCAGCUAUUUUUGUUUUACCGCACUAUUUCCCAUUCAUCACUUGAGCCAAGGGAAUGUAGCUCACCGAAAUAGUUCACCCCUCUUACCAUGAGAUUUCUCUUAAUUCUACAUAAAUACUGUAGGGAGUGAGUAAUACACAAUGGUUUCCUACAGCAAUAACCAACGUAUCCCAUGAGUUUUCCACAGUCUCUUUCAAGUUAAUAUGCAACAGUAGGGUUUGGAGAAAAAAGUGCAUUACUUUUGGAGAUUAAUUUAAUGCACUUACAUAGGAUCCUAACUGGAAGUGCAGCUGUGUAAUUUAUUUUGUUAAAACAGCCCUGUUAUUCCUCUAGAUAUUCAGUUGUCAAGUAAAGGAUGAUAAUACCAACUGCACUUGCACUUGUUUUAUUCCACUCUUGCCUUUGUCUCCCCUGGGACUGAUCUAUCGUAAUCUAUCAUGCACACAGGAUUUUUUUCUUUUUUUCUUCUUCUUUUUUUUUUUAAUGCAUUUGCAAGAAAAUCCAUUAAGUAGAGCUAUUUUAAAGACCUUUAACAUAGUGGCAUAUUCUCCUCUUA